AGCACGUUAUGGUGGGCGACUCUAAGGAGGACUGCCGGUCGACAGGCCGGAGGAAGGUGGGGAGUGACGUCAAGUCAUCAUGGCCCUUACGGCCUGGGCUACACACGUGCUACAAUGGUCGGUACAAAGGGUUGCCAAGCCGCGAGGUGGAGCUAAUCCCAUAAAACCGAUCGUAGUCCGGAUCGCAGUCUGCAACUCGACUGCGUGAAGUCGGAAUCGCUAGUAAUCGUGAAUCAGAAUGUCACGGUGAAUACGUUCCCGGGCCUU
rnacentral:rRNA from 1 species